rnacentral:rRNA from 1 species
AUUGAACGUUGGCGGCAGGCCUAAUACAUGCAAGUCGAACGGCAGCACAGAGAGCUUGCUCUUGGGUGGCGAGUGGCGGACGGGUGAGUAACGCGUAGGAAUCUACCCAGUAGCGGGGGAUAGCCCGGGGAAACUCGGAUUAAUACCGCAUACGCCCCACGGGGGAAAGGCCGGGAUCUUCGGACCGGUCACUAUUGGAGGAGCCUGCGUUGGAUUAGCUUGUUGGUGGGGUAAUGGCCUACCAAGGCAACGAUCUCUAGCUGGUCUGAGAGGACGAUCAGCCACACUGGGACUGAGACACGGCCCAGACUCCUACGGGAGGCAGCAGUGGGGAAUAUUGGACAAUGGGCGAAAGCCUGAUCCAGCAAUGCCGCGUGUGUGAAGAAGGCCUGAGGGUUGUAAAGCACUUUCAAUCGUGAAGAAAAGUUAGCAGGCGUAAUACCCUGUGACCUUGACGUUAACGAUACAAGAAG